UGCAGCUGUAUGAGUAUGACAGAGCCUGGGAGUUCCCUGGAGGGACAGGGUAUGUGGGGUUGCACUAUUAGAAGAGGAUUCAUGGAGGGAAUGUGUUAGAUCAAGGAUGAAAAGAUCUUACCAUACAGAGAGAUGAGGAAAGGUAAACAAAUUUCAGGAACAGCCUGAGACAAGCUUCGGCAGGGAAGGUGGGCAUUGUUUUAUGCACACGAGGUGUAGGAGCGAAAAGACAGAUUGUCAAUUAUCUACAUUACUGCUAGCAUUACAGGAGUUUAAAAUUAUCUUUCAUCUCUUGUAUAUUUAUUGUGCAUGGCAUAAAUCAGCCACACUAGUAUCUGCAUACUAGUAUUGCUUUCAAACACCAAUGAUAGAAAAUGUCCAAAGCAAAUCAGAGUAAAUUAAUUUUUUUGCAUUAAUUUCUGUUUCUUUCAAAUACAAAGAUUCAUAUAUAACUACUAUCAAAGGCGUUUUUUGCCUUUACAGAUGGUCAACAUUUGUUAAAGAAGUCAGGAAAACGCAGACAUGCAGGGAUUAGGACAUCCUUGCGUCAUGGGUCUCUCAGCCUUUUCCUUAACCAGGGGUGGCUGCGCUGCACUUGAGGAGGAGGCAAGGGGCAGUCAGGCAGCCUGGAGUUCUCCUGCCCACUCUGCUGGCUCUGCUGGCUCCCCAGCCUACUUCAGCCCCAGCCUCGCAAAUUCCAAACUGCUGAUUCAUGCUCAUGAUGUGAGCCUAAUGACCGCGAACACGCUCUUGUUUUUCUUCUUCAGGCACAUUUUCUUGGUAACCAGGCGGAUGAUAUGCUAAUGCAAGCUGGCAGACUUGAUCUCAAACUACAAAAAUACGCUCUGCCACGUGGAGGGGACAAAGGAGGAAAGAGACUUCAAGGCUAUCCUUUUGACUCGGGUUUCCAUUUUUGUCGAGAAGCACACAGCAAGUGCUCAACAAGGAGAUUUGGUAUUCAGAGGAGACCCACAGUGACCAUUAGGAUUUUAAACCACCAUGAGCAGUAAUUCUUCUCAUUUAAAAUAAAUGUCCUCUAAGCUUUUUUAGUAACACACUUUAUGAGACUCCGCUAGUUUCUCGUGCUGUUUCAGACAGCUCUGGGUAAGCAGGAGAUGCUGAAUCCAGUGAGGCAGAAAAGUCAGAAUUUGCCUUUUCUCAAAAUCCAUCUUGGCCCCAACUUGGCUGCAUCUUGCUUCUGAGUCAUAUAGCAAGGGUUCGUUGAAGGUCACCGCAAUGCCCUGGACUACUUUGGAGUUUCAAUGUAUUGCUGUUGAAAUAAUUUUUAAUCUCUUCCUGUCAGCUGGCCAGAUGAUACAAUAAUAUUACCCUGUGUUGCCUCACAAGUGAUUAAAGAACAAGAGCACAGCAAGUCCUGCUUCCCAGCCCUCUCACAGGAGAGCAUAGAGGCUUCUGCAGGGAGAACGAGCCUUCUGCAACAUACAGAUAUUCCCAGAAAGACAAUUCACAAAGCAGUUUAUUAGUGCCUGUGUUUUCAAGGCACUGCUGAGCGGAAUGCCAGGGCCAUUGGCUCCUGUUUUAUUAAGGUUCUUGUCUAUCUGACUCAGACUCACAAAUUUUCUGGCCACAGACUUGGAAUUUACUGUAAAGUGAGUCAUCCGGUAUGAACCAAUGAAAAUUCUCCAGGCAAAUUCAGUUCAGACUCUGAGUUGUUAUUUUUAUUCUAAAAUGGUCUUUUUCUUUAUUAUCUGGAAACUCAUCAGUUAGGUGAGUCUGAGUGAGUCUGUGUUAAGAGGCUAAAAUUAAUAAAUCCAUCUGGGUAAUUUCAUGCCAAAAGCCACAACCUUCGGUUGAUAAAAAGGAAGAUGUUUCAUUUCAAUUGGAAGGUCACAGUCGGUCUGCUAAGCUGAUUUUGAAAACGAUAUGCUGAUAAGCAUAGGAAAGGGUA
rnacentral:lncRNA from 1 species